rnacentral:rRNA from 1 species
AUACGUAGGGGGCGAGCGUUAUCCGGAAUUAUUGGGCGUAAAGAGUACGUAGGUGGUUGCGUAAGCGCAAGGUGAAAGACCGGGGCUUAACUUCGGUGAGCCUUGUGAACUGCGCGACUUGAGUGCAGGAGGGGAAAGUGGAAUUCCUAGUGUAGCGGUGAAAUGCGUAGAUAUUAGGAGGAACACCAGUGGCGAAGGCGACUUUCUGGACUGUAACUGACACUGAGGUACGAAAGCGUGGGGAGCAAACAGGAUUAGAUACCCUGGUAGUCCACGCCGUAAACGAUGAGCACUAGGUGUUGGCGUAGAAAUACGUCGGUGCCGAAGUUAACGCAUUAAGUGCUCCGCCUGGGGAGUACGCACGCAAGUGUGAAACUCAAAUGAAUUGGCGGGG